rnacentral:lncRNA from 1 species
AUACACAGAGAACCACGUGGAGGAAAAGCACGCGAGUUUGGAGCGGGUGGAGCAGGAACAGAGGUGGACUGGAAUGUCACACGACGGGGCAGCUGGAAGGGCACCACUGAGUUCAGUACUUCAAAAUUGCCGUGCUCUACCUCUCCCCAGUGCACAAAAACACUCUCCACACCAAGCUGCUGCUGCUGGGGGAUGGAGGGAUGGCGUCAGCGAUUCAAGACUGUUUUUCCUACCUGUUCAGCACUUCUUUCAGCGAUAUGAAGUUAAAUCCAGAGAUGGGAUCUCACCAUGUUGCCCAGGCUGAUCUUGAACUCCUGGGCUCAAGUAAUCCUCCCGCCUGGCCUCUCAAAAUGCUGGGAUUACAGGUGGGAGCCACUGCACCUGGCUUGCCCCACUAUUUUAUAGCUGGGACUUGAGGCCCGAGAAAGGCCAAGUUCCCACCUGGUGGGAAGCACUGUGCAGGUUCGUGGGGAUGCAGCCCUGCACAGCCCAGACUGGACUCCUUCCCCAUGGAACUCACAACACACGGGAGAGGCAGAGAGAUCCAAGCGCACAGAAAAACACAAGAAGAUUCAGCCCUGUCAUCUUGUGCAAAGUGAGUUCCACAUAAUUCAAUUAUAAAAUGAGAGAUUGUGUUUCUGUGAGCUUCAUAAAAAUGAAUUAUUUCUCUGUCACAAAAAGUAAAGACAGUACAAACGACA